AUCUAAUAAGACCCCACCCACGUGACCAUAUGUUUCCUAAAAUAUAAAUCAUCAAAGACAAUCUAAUAAUGCACAAAAUAGAAAUGGUGCAAUUAUCUCUAAAUGGAGGAGUAUAUACUAAAUAGAAGAUUUAAGUCGAUUCUCUUGAAGAUUUCACUCAAUUUGAAGCUUGUGAAAGUUAGCGUAAUGGAAGGAAACAUUGCGAAUUCAAUUUAUUGGAAAUUCUCAUAGUGUAUCCUGAAGAAAGAAGAACAAUUCUAGAGCUAGUUCUUUUGGUUCUUUUGGUUCUUUUGGUUGUGGUUCUUGAAGUAAAUGGUUGCGAAUGUGAUCACUGAGCUUGAUGAUACUCCCGUUGAUUUUGCUGCUGCUGGACCUAAUGCAAGAAGUUAUGUGCAGGUUCCUUACUUCCUUCCACUAAGCAGUAAGCAUAUUCUUGCUGUUGGAAGCAAAGGCCGGAGGUGUUUACUAUCUAACCACAGGUCCGGAGUUCAUAAGAGGUGCUAACUGUUAAUUACUAAUCAGUACCUUCUGAUGACAUUUUGAAAGUACUAUCAUUCUAUCAAGGUCCUAAUCACGUCAGGUUUCGAAUCGAAUUGAAAUCAUUGUUAUGUCAGAUCAAUUCAGUUAUCGGUCUUUUUUUGACGGGUAUCGAUUCAGGUUCAGGUUAUGGAGAAUUGAGUCAAGAUCAUGUAUCAGUUAUUAUCAGGUCGAGUACAAUAAGGUUACAGGUGACCUGUUUUAUCAAAAUUUUAGGUGCAAGUCAAUUGCAAGUCAUCACAGGUUCAGGUCGGGUUAUCAGAUUAGUCAUUUUUAACAGCUUUACACUCAAGGCUAUUUAAAUGAGCAAAAUGGAUACAAAAGGAAGAGCUUCAAAUUAGCAAUAGGCAAAAAUCAAUAUUGGGUGCACCAUAUAUACAACAGACCUGAGUGUAUGAUGAAUGUGCUCAUAUCUAAACCUAAAAAAAAGAAAAUCACAAUAUUGCUUGUUCACCUCAUAUAUUAAUCAUGUUUAACUCUCAUUACCCAUUAAUAUUUACUUAUAUAUAGUGUCGCUAUAUAAUAAUGAAAGUUUAUGAAAACACACAUACUUCUAUGUGCAUAGUGUUUCAUUACCAUAACCAUUGUUGAAAACAUCUUUUUUUUUAAUAAUAAAUACGGUCUAAUUAUAGACGAGCCAAAAACAACAUUAUACUUCCUCCAUUCCAAAUUAAAUGCAACAAUUUGAAUGACACAUUCUCCUAGUCAAAACCUAAGGCGAGAUUAAGAAAAGGUGAGGGCAUGUGAUUAGGUUUAAGUGGAGAGGGGAAGUAGGCCAUCACCGCCAUUGUCAUUACUUGACACCACCACUCAAACUGCCAUCACCACCACCAUAACCAGGCUGUUACCACGAUCACCAUUCCACCACUCUUGCUGCCAUGACCACCACCACAACCACUCUACUACCAUGACCACCACUCUUGCUGCCAUUACCACCACCUUCUUGCUGCCCCCACCACCACCUAACCACCACUGCAGCCACAUCCUACCACCACCACCAUCAAAACCAUAAACAUACAUGCUAACAUGCCGCUAAUUUCACGAAGAAAACGACUCAACGAGGGGAAGGUGCAAGGCAGAGCAGCAGGAAGUAGGGUGGUGACGGGUCGCAGGUCCUCGGUGGAACUCCAACAUGGGCAGCAAUACCGGAGCAGAAUGCAAGAGAGAGAAACGAAAGGGGAAAGAGAGCAGCGAGAAUAAGUGCGAGAGCACGGGGGUGCGUUUUGGAACCCCGAUGGGUGGCACACAAGUCCAUCGGUGACUGGGAAAUGACGAUGGCAGGGUAGUUUUGGGCUAGAGCGAAGGUGACAGCGGUGCACCGAAGGUGAUUUUGGUUGGAACGAAGUUGUCGUUGGUUUUGGGCUGGUGGGGGAGGAUAUCGAAGAGAGAUGAUGAUGGUGAUUGAUGGUGGCGGAGGAAGGACGCCAGCGAGAUUGGUGAUGAUGAUGGUGGUGGUUGAGGAGAGAAAGAUGGUGAUAGAAGAUGGAGGAGAGAGAAAGACGGUCAAAGGAUGUAGUCAUGGAGAUGGGAGCAUGGAGGAGAGAGACAUGGUGGUGGCGGGUGGAGUGAAGGUGGUAUUUGUUAUUUAUGACUUGAAAUUUUGUGAAUGACAUAAGGCUAACUUUGAAUGCACAUAUCUCUCAAUCUAUAAAUGGUUUUGAUGUGAUUCAAAUUGGAGGUGAUAGCUUGUUCCAAGAGCUUUCCAACGAUAGGUCAUAUGCCCAAUUCCGCUGAGAAAUGAGAAAGUUAUGACUGUUUUACGAAAAACUGACGAAAUUGUUUCGUCUUCGCCCGACCCGGUCGGGCGGAGCGUUGGUUUUUGCGGUACACGCAUUUUAUUUUCAGUACUUUUUCGUUUUUGAGUUAUCUUUUAGGGUUUGUACGGGGUUCCUUAUGAUUAUAAAAGGGCUUCCCGGUGUUCAUUAUUAUUGACACAACUUAUGAAACACUUUUAGCCUAUAGAAUUUAGGACUCCUUGUAUUCUUCUCUCUGGUUUUCUCCAUCAUAGUGAAGAAACUCUAAUCCCCCACCGGUGGACGUAGGUCAAAUUUGACUGAACCACGUAAAUCCUUGUGUUCUUUGUUUGUUUAUCUUGAUAAUUUUCUCACCUUUAUUAUUUCAUUGAUUUUCUGUUCCGCAUUAAUCAAACUACAACACCCUAUUUCCUAACAGUAUUGAAGAGAAAAGGGGUUGAUGUUUAGGUUGAUUAAUCUUUAUUAGGUUUGUAAUUUAUUUGAUUUGGUAGUAUAAUAUGUAUUUUAGUUUUUUAAUAACGAUAUUUUGGUAAUUUUAGGAGUAAAAAUCAUACUAAAAAUAGAAAAAGAAAAUUGUUGCAUUUAAUUUUAAAUAGAAACUGUUGCAUUUAAUUGGAACGGAGAAAGUAUCUCUUCUUCUACGAAAACACUUUGUAUCUUAGACAUUCAGCAUACGAAUUUAAUCAUCAAGCAUAUUAAUAUAAACACCAAAAUUUAAUGAACUGAAAAGUGUGAUUGAGGAGUACUUACGAAGAGCAAAUGUUUGACUUCAUCAAGGCUCAAUUCUUUAUCUUCAACAAGCUUGAGUAGAGUAUCUAAGACAUCAUCUUUGGUAUCCUUUGGAUUUCUCAACCUUCCUUCAAUAAUUUCCUCAAAUAUUCCUAACAUCUUGUUAGCGCAAUACGUAGCCCUUCUCAACACUCCUUGCAAAUCAAACUCCUUGACUAUCGGGAAAAAAUCUGAAACAUUAGGCCUCGCUCCUUCUACCAUCAUUUGCCAAACAAGAUCCUUAAACUCUUGUGAAUCUGAAGAAACAUGGCUAGCCAAAUCCAUUGAAAAAAAUGUGCUCGACAAUAAAUUUAACGUGGUAGUAAACGCGGCCUUACCAAUAUUUAAUGGUAAGCCACGUUCACUACAGUGUCGUGCAUACUCAAUUAACUCAUCAACCUUCUUCUGCCGUAUAAUCUGGCUAGCAUCGAGCCGUUUUCCGGUGAAUAAUUGGACGGUUGCAAUCUUCCUAAGGUUUCGCCAUUUAGGCCCAACAGGAAGAAAAACCAUCGAUAGUUGGUCAUGGUUAGCUGCUCUUAGAGCAUCUGUAUUAGCUCUACCUGAAAAGUCCAAGUCAUGUUUAAGGAACAUUUCUCGGGCUACUUCUGGUGAUGAUAUCACUAUCGUAGUGAUGCUUCCUAACUUAAGAGACAUUAUAGGACCAUAGAUUUUUGCGAGCUCGGCGACAGAACGAUGAGGCUUGUCGCCGAGCUUAAAUAUGUUGCCUAUGAUAGGCCAUGGUGUUGGUCCUGGAGGAAGUUUGGACUUGCUCAAAAUUUUUGUACCGAAUAUUGAUAUUGUGAAGAUGAUGAAUAAUAGCGUUAUGGUGUAAUACUCCAUUGAUAGAUGUAGGACCUUUGGAAAUCAGUACGGCGGCAACUUUAAUUUGGUUAUGUAUGUGAGUAAUUUACAGGAUUUUAAUGUGCCCUAAUGAAAGGUAAAUAGCCCGUUUCCUUUGUUUUAUUAGAAGGAGAUGACAAAUGGUUGGUGGAGAUAAGGAGAUGGAGCCUCGUGAUUCAUGACCAUAUGUUUGGUUAGUUGACUUAGUGUGUGUCAUUACUCCCUCCGUCUUUUUUUAUUUGCUACAAGCACUUUUUCACAAAGACCAAGGAGGGAGUGGGGACCAUUGACAUAAAUGGAAUUAACAAAAAAGCAAAUAGGUAAAUUGUGGGACCUAUGUAUUAUAUAUGGAAACAUUUACAAAAUCAAGAAGGGAGUGAUGGCAAAUUUGUAAAUAAAGUGUAGGACCUAUGUACUAUAUAUGGAAAUGUUUGCAAAUGUAGCAAAUAAAUUGAAACACCCCUAAAUGGCAAAAUGUAGCAAAUAAAAAAAGACGGAGGGAGUAUUAUGUAAUUUUUUUUCAUUUUGGGUGGGACAACAAAUCUUUUUAGUCCUUCCAAAUCUAGGAUGAUAAUCUUACAGGUAGAUGUGUUAGAUAUAAAUUUUUGUGUAAUAAAUAUUGUGUUUGUAUAUGAUAAAUAUUAUUUGUGUACUUAAAUAUAUUAUUUGUGUUGUUUUUCUCUUAUUUGUUAUAUGAAACACAAAUAAUAUUUUUACAUAGACAAACAAUAUUAAUGAUAUACACAAACAUUGGUCUUGUAAGAUACCAUCUAAUUUUAGCAAAAGAUUAGGCACGACUAGAUUAAUCUAUUUUGUGAUUAGUUUAAUUUAUUUAGUAAUGACAUUUUUUAAUCAAUUUAGUGACUAGUUUAAUUCAUUUAGUCACUAGUUUAAUCCAUUCUGUAACACUACCGAGUUAGUUUUUUGAAAAUUAUCUGUUGUAGUUCGAUAAUCAAGAAAAAAAAAGGAAGGAGAAGAUAAUGGAUGACUAGGAUAGUGUUGGGUUAGAGUGAAGUGGAAUGAACUUGUUAGAAAAAUUCAGUUUUGGGUUCGUUUAAUUUUAUGUUAAAAUUAGACCGCCUAUUGUAAUAAUUUGUGAUAUUUAUUACACAAAAACUUGUGUUAGAUAUAUCUAAAUGUUAGACAUUUAUCAAACCUACUUUUAUGGUGCAAUAUUAAUUUUUCACACUA